CCUCACGCCACUCACUCUCCACCUCACUCUCUAAAACAGAAAAUCUCCCCCCACUCAGUAUGCCCUCACUCCAUUUCACACGCUCCCGCAAAAAAAUCGGUUCUCCAUUCUGAAAACGGAUUCUCCCACAAAAACCCUCUUCACUCACUCUCAAAACCCUCACUCAACAACCUUCAAUCCUCACAAUCCCUUCAUCUUCCUCAUCUCUCGGCCAUUCUUCAGACCUUCAACCGCCGCCACGGAUUCACCACCGCGAACAACCUAAAACCACCACACGAACCACAACAAUCGCCUCUACCGCCGCUAAACCCUUCUUCCUCUCUCACUCAACAACCUUCACUCGCCAACAGCCACUACACCUCUCUCUCAAUAACUCCCUCACGCUACUUCUCCCUACCUCUUCCUCUUCACCUUCAAAACAAACCCUUCAAAAUCAACCACAGAACCACCGAUCUGCAAGUUCCUUCACGCCGGUACUCAGCUUCGACCACUCCCGAUGGAUCCCGCCGUAAAUCACCACGCUUUCUAUUCCAGCAAGAGUCCAAACACGAUGCUACAACAACAACAAACCCUCUCUUAGCUCUUCGACAUCGGUGCGGGCCCAGAUCCUCACGCAUGCAACAAACUCGGUUUUCGUUUACGGAUUCUAUUGUCAUGCUGGCUAUAUGGUGUCUAAAUCCGUUUCGAUUCCGUAUACUUUUAUGUCGAAGUAUAUUUUGGGGUGAGUGUACAUUUGUGUCAAUACUACAAUAGCCCUGUAUAUAAUCACAAUUUGCGGUGAUACACUUUGAUACCAUUUUAUUGUACAUAUUCAACGUAUAUCAUGAUUCUUGAUUAUGACUUGUUUUGGCUAUAUCACAAGGACUUGUUUUGUAUUGCCUGUGAAGUUUAUAGUUAUUGUAGUAUCUCGUUCAUUUUCAUUUGAAUUGAGAUUUGGUUAUGAAUACCAAUGUGCUUAUACACAACUUAUGCGAGUUUCAGUUUGGAUUGUAUUUGGGAAGAUAUUUUAAGUGGGAACUGUAUUAAAAUUCUGCUCUUGAAUUAUUAGAUUAGUUUGUAGUUGGAUCA